rnacentral:rRNA from 1 species
GUGGGGAAUUUUGGACAAUGGGCGCAAGCCUGAUCCAGCAAUGCCGCGUGCAGGAAGAAGGCCUUCGGGUUGUAAACUGCUUUUGUACGGAACGAAACGGUCCUGGUUAAUACCUGGGGCUAAUGACGGUACCGUAAGAAUAAGCACCGGCUAACUACGUGCCAGCAGCCGCGGUAAUACGUAGGGUGCGAGCGUUAAUCGGAAUUACUGGGCGUAAAGCGUGCGCAGGCGGUGCUGUAAGACAGGCGUGAAAUCCCCGGGCUCAACCUGGGAAUUGCGCUUGUGACUGCAGUGCUGGAGUACGGCAGAGGGGGAUGGAAUUCCGCGUGUAGCAGUGAAAUGCGUAGAUAUGCGGAGGAACACCGAUGGCGAAGGCAGUCCCCUGGGCCUGCACUGACGCUCAUGCACGAAAGCGUGGGGAGCAAACAGGAUUAGAAACCCGUGUAGUCC